rnacentral:lncRNA from 1 species
AGAGACAGCAACUCUUAGACUUGACCAUAACAGGACGCAUAGAAGACAUCGGUGAGGACGUUGUGCCUCAGCGUUCCAGGCCAUGCAGUACCUGCCUCACCAGCAGCAGGGCUACACUGUACACUGCCACUGACUUCUCAGACAGCUCCUCCUGGCAGACAGGGACAGAGAGAGGGACAGGGACAGAGAGCGGGACAGGGACUCAGGAGGGCGGUAUGGUGCCGGUGGGAUCGUCUCUAGAAGGUAAUCUUGGGAGGAGGCGAACUCUUCCUCCAAGUAUUCCCACCCUUCACACCACUCAGAGCGAGAGAGAGGGGAGAGGGGCUACAAAUGGGAUACCGUGGGCUACAGAGACCACGGCAGACUACGUAACUCACACAACCACCGC